UACGUAGGCAGCAAGCGUUGUUCGGAGUUACUGGGCGUAAAGGGUGCGUAGGCGGCUUCUUAAGUCUGGUGUGAAAUCUCCCGGCUCAACUGGGAGGGUGCGCCGGAUACUGAGGGGCUAGAGUGUGGGAGAGGAAAGUGGAAUUCCUGGUGUAGCGGUGAAAUGCGUAGAUAUCAGGAGGAACACCGGUGGUGUAAACGGCUUUCUGGACCAUAACUGACGCUGAGGCACGAAAGCGUGGGGAGCAAACAGG
rnacentral:rRNA from 1 species